rnacentral:rRNA from 1 species
UGCCGCGUGAGUGAAGAAGGCCUUCGGGUUGUAAAGCUCUUUUGUCAGGGAAGAAACGGUAGUCUCUAAUACAGAUUGCUAAUGACGGUACCUGAAGAAUAAGCACCGGCUAACUACGUGCCAGCAGCCGCGGUAAUACGUAGGGUGCAAGCGUUAAUCGGAAUUACUGGGCGUAAAGCGUGCGCAGGCGGUUAUAUAAGUCAGAUGUGAAAUCCCCGGGCUCAACCUGGGAACUGCAUUUGAGACUGUAUGGCUAGAGUGUGUCAGAGGGGGGUAGAAUUCCACGUGUAGCAGUGAAAUGCGUAGAUAUGUGGAGGAAUACCGAUGGCGAAGGCAGCCCCCUGGGAUAACACUGACGCUCAUGCACGAAAGCGUGGGGAGCAAACAGGAUUAGAUACCCUGGUAGUCCACGCCCUAAACGAUGUCUACUAGUUGUCGGGACUUAAUUGUCUUGGUAACGCAGCUAACGCGUGAAGUAGACCGCCUGGGGAGUACGGUCGCAAGAUUAAAACUCAAAGGAAUUGACGGGGACCCGCACAAGCGGUGGAUGAUGUGGAUUAAUUCGAUGCAACGCGAAAAACCUUACCUACCCUUGACAUGGUUGGAAUCCCGAAGAGAUUUG